rnacentral:lncRNA from 1 species
UCGGGUGUCAAGAUCCGACAAUGCAUACCCACACCCAUGUCUGAUUACAAAGUUGUACGAGGCGGCUGAUAUACCUGAGGUUGCUAGCAUAGAUCAAGAUUUGCUCACCAAGAAACUUACAACCCCAUCCAAAAUGAUAAAAAUCAGCUGAGGCAGACACUUGACAAGUGAGUAGGGGUUGCAGAAGAUCCACUAGUUGCAGGUACUAGUUUAGCACCUACUAUGGAGGUGUAUGAUUUUGAGACUAUACAACAAACACCUUCAGCAUAAACAAAUUCAGUGCCUAAGAACGCACAAAACCCUUUAGGUGUUAUUGGAUCCACAAAAUUCACAUUCAA